rnacentral:rRNA from 1 species
UACCAGCUCUCCGAGUAGUGUGGAUGUUUAUUGGGCCUAAAGCAUCCGUAGCUUGCUAAGCAAGUCCCCUGUUAAAUCCACCGAUUUAAUCGUUGGAUUGCGGGGGAUACUGUUUGGCUAGGGGACGGGAGAGGCCGACGGUAUUUCCAGGGUAGGGGUGAAAUCCUAUAAUCCCGGGAAGACCACCAGUGGCGAAGGCUGUCGGCUAGAACGCGCCCGACGGUGAGGGAUGAAAGCUGGGGGAGCGAACCGGAUUAGAUACCCGGGUAGUCCCAGCUGUAAACGAUGCAGGCUAGGUGUUUGUGCGGCCGCGAGCCGCCCUAGUGCCGCAGGGAAGCUGUUAAGCCUGCCGCCUGGGGAGUACGGCCGCAAGGCUGAAACUUAAAGGAAUUGGCGGGGGAGCACCACAAGGGGUGAAGCUUGCGGUUU